GAUGAACGCUGGCGGCGUGCCUAAUACAUGCAAGUCGAGCGAACGGACGAGAAGCUUGCUUUUCUGAUGUUAGCGGCGGACGGGUGAGUAACACGUGGAUAACCUACCUGUAAGACUGGGAUAACUUCGGGAAACCGGAGCUAAUACCGGAUAAUAUUUUGAACCGCAUGGUUCAAAAGUGAAAGACGGUCUUGCUGUCACUUAUAGAUGGAUCCGCGCUGCAUUAGCUAGUUGGUAAGGUAACGGCUUACCAAGGCAACGAUGCAUAGCCGACCUGAGAGGGUGAUCGGCCACACUGGAACUGAGACACGGUCCAGACUCCUACGGGAGGCAGCAGUAGGGAAUCUUCCGCAAUGGGCGAAAGCCUGACGGAGCAACGCCGCGUGAGUGAUGAAGGUCUUCGGAUCGUAAAACUCUGUUAUUGGGGAAGAACAUAUGUGUAAGUAACUGUGCACAUCUUGACGGUACCUAAUCAGAAAGCCACGGCUAACUACGUG
rnacentral:rRNA from 1 species